CAGUGAAGAGGGACAAGCUCAAAUUUUAAAUCUGUUGGGUUCUCCUGACCGAGUUGUAAUUUGAAGAAGCGUUUUCCGCGCCGUUUGAUCAGCCCAAGUCUUAUUGAAUGAGGCAUCAUGGAGGGUGAUAAUCCCGUUCGGUUGAUCAAUGGUGCUUUACGAUACGCUUUCAAAGAGUCGAGUUGUUUGGGAUUGCAGCUCAAAAUGGGAGGUAAAUUUCUCCUAAGGCUAAAUACCGGCGAGAGACCGAUAGCGAACAAGUACCGUGAGGGAAAGAUGAAAAGAAUUUUGAAAAGAAAGUCAAACAGUACGUGAAAUUGUUGAAAGGGAAACGAUUGAAGCCAGUCGUACCGACGGGAAUUCAACUUCUCGAGUGCUAAUCGUGGGUGACGUUGAGCCUCACGGCCUUCGUUGCUUGUGUUUUUGGUGCUUUUGGGGUGUACUUUUCCGUAUUGGUAGGUCAGCAUCGAUUUCGAUCGUCAUAAAAUGAUCGGGGGAAUGUAGCUCCGGUCUCGUAUCGGAGUGUUAUAGACCUUGGUAGAUGUGACGAUUGGGAUCGAGGAUUGCAACGAAUACCCUCUGGGCUAUCCGUCUGACCUCUGAAAGUCGCUCGGGUGUCGAAAGCGAGCUUAUGGCUAUUCGAGUUGGCGGUCAAUAGGUUAGAACGUGAUUACAUUCGUUA
rnacentral:rRNA from 1 species